ACCAAAAGGAAUUGGAGACCUUAUAGGACUCAAUAACUUAAAUUUGUCAAGAAAUCAUUUACAAGGAAAAAUUCCUUGGGAGAUAGGAGGAAUGGAAUCAUUAGAAUCCCUUGAUCUAUCGAUAAAUGAUCUUUCUGGUAGCAUUCCUGAGAGCUUAUUGACUUUAUAUUCCUUGAGCUACUUGAAUUUAUCAUAUAAUAAUCUUUCGGGAAUGAUACCAACUGGUUAUCAACUCCAAACACUCAAUGAUCCAUCCAUUUACAUGGGCAAUGCCGACUUAUGUGGACCACAAAUUUUCAAAAAUUGUUUUAUGCAAGAGUACAAAAAGGAGAUUUCCGAGUGGUUAUGGUUCUAUAUUAGCAUGAUACUAGGAUUUGUGAUGGGAUUUUGGAUAUUUUGUGGUAUUCUCUUCCUCAAAGACGCAUGGAGGCAUGCUUAUUUCCAUAUCAUUGAUGAUAUGUAUGAUUGGGUUUGGGUGCAAUGGCAAUUAAUUCUUCGACGAUUGUUGAGACGUUAAUCCUAAACUUCUAGUGUGGAUGAUCCCGAGCUUCACGGUAGCUGAGGAAAAUGUAUGUCAUCACUCUACUUUUUAUUUAUAUGGUAUUUUGGAUUCCUAGCAGCUAGCUGUGAUCAAUGAAAAAAGCAUUUGUAUUGUUGAUCUAAGAAAGGAUGGGCUGCUAUAUUUAUGGUCUUCUUCUAUUUGAUGUUUGCAUAAUUAUAACAUCAUGCAAGAGUUGGCUCAUAGUUUUAAAGCAGAGAAAUAUUACAAAAAGAAGAGAACUACAACCAAGUCUUUCGUAUGAAGAUAUAGUUUAAAAAUAUGCUAUAUUGAUUUUAAAGGAACAAACACAUUACUUUCGAAAUAAUAAUAAAUUAGAGGAAGAGAGGGGUGGCUUUGGCAGGGGAAGAAAAGAGGAGAAAAAAAAAAAAAAGGAGGUGUGAGAUUUAAUAAGGAUGUUGUUUUUAUUUCAAGAGAGUAAGUUUAAAAUUUGAAAGAGUAUAUAUAUGUAUGAUUUUGAAUUCCUAUUCAUUCCCUACCAAUGAGAGAGUAAAUAGAGCUAUAGAUUAAUUAUUCUAAAAUUAUUGAGUAUCUUGUGAUUUUAGAGAAAAAAAUAGUCAUUCUCACAUAAGAAAGAAAAUAUUAUGAUUGUUUAUUGGAUUGGUUUAUAUUAUUCGAAUGAUUUAGAAAAGGAGAGUUUUGAUUACCAUAUCAGUUAUAAUAAUAUAUGAUUAACAUAAGUAUCGAAUGAUUAUGUCUAACUUGUUUUCUAAUUUAAUAAUAUAUUUGUUAAUAAUGAAGUUAUGUGAUUUGAAAAUGUUAAAUUGGUUUUUGAAAAUAAGCUUUUUGAUAUUGCAUUUGUUUAAAAUAUUAGAAUAUUCAAUUAUUAUAUUUUCCAAUGCUAUAUUGUUGAACAUAUUUCAAAUAAGGUGUCCAUAUGUUACUUUAGAUGAUGGUUAAUUGUUCUCAAUUAGUUGGUUUUGAUUUAGACUUUAUCAAUUGUUGUUGUUCUAACAUAGAGAUAAAUGUAUUACCUAUAUCAUGGAGAUUAAAUGUGAUUUUGAUCCUUGUCAUCACCAGGAUACAAUAUGGUCAUAGCCAUUAGCACUUGGACUUCUAUUUUAAUAUAUGCCCUUUGUUAUAGUCAUGACCAUCAAUGAAUUUAGAUAUGAAGGCUUAGUUAUACUUAUACUGAUUCAUGAUUGAUUAAUAAUAAUCUUGGCAUUAAAAUGAAAUCUAUACACUUAUGUUUUUCUAUGCAAAUGUAUUAAAAAAUUAUGGUGUCUUAUGUGCUUAUUAAGCUAAAAAGUUGUGAUUUGAAAAGCAUGUAAAGAUAUGUUUGCUCUUUAUAUAAUUGUAUAGUUUUAUAAAAUGCAUCCAUGAGAAGUUUUGCUAAUAUAUGAUUUUUGGUGUUUACUAAGAUGUGGUUGCUCAUAUCCCUGUUGUUAAAAUUUUUCAGAUGCCUGCGAGUAUAUUGAAUUUGGUUAUGUAUCAAGACAACAAAUUAUAUUGUUUAUGGUUCAAACUCUUGAGACUUGUGAUGUAAUAAUCCAUUAGUGAGAUGUCUUUGGUGAACUUAUUUGUAUUUGAGAGCUCAAUAUGUCGCUGCUGGAUAUUAUAUGGAUGUAUAUGUUUUGUAUUGUGUCAAGUGCAUGUAUUUGGAUUUAAGUUGCGUACAAGUUUAAGCCUUGCAAUUCUCAUAUGAAAACUUGUGGAACUGUGGUUAAAAUAUUAUGACAUAUGUUGUGAUGAUGAAUGAUUAAGAGAGCGAGAUGUUGACAACAACUCUGCCAUCACCUUCAAAACCCUUAGUUUCUAUCGUCUUUAGCUUUAUGGAAUAAUAAAAAUGAUAACCUAACACAGCUCUAUCGGUUAAGCCUUAACCAAUGAGAGUUGUAUGCUCGAAUAGGCAGGAGAAGUUUGACCGAAUUGGCAGCCAAUAGCAUGGACAUGAAUCAAUAGCCAAUAGAUGGAUACAGUUGCCCAGAAGGUGAGUUCUUCAAUACAUAAAAUCUAAAAAUCUAAAAAUACAUAAGUAUUUUUCACAUCUUGUUAUCUCUCUUAAAAUCUAAAAAUACAUAAAAUAUCUAUAGAAGAAAUAAACCUCUUCAAUACAACUCCUAAGUUAUUAACAUUCUAACCCCUUUAAUAGAGCGCUAAUUUAAUGAUAAGAUUAACCCAAGUCAUUCCUCCACUCUAUAUCAAGUUUUUCUAAUCAAAACAAAUAUUAAUAGACUAUGAGUAGAAAAUAAAGUAAUGUUAAAUGCAACUUUUACUCUGUCACUCCAACGCAUCUCUAUAUUAUGCCAAAGGCAUGAAUUGGGCAUCCAACUAACAAUAACUCCACUCUCUCUCUCUCUCUCUCUAUGUGUGUAUAUUCUUAAUAGGUGGCAUACAUUUAUGUAUAUAUAUUCUUCAAAUCUUGCUCUCUCUCUCUCUCUCUCUCUCUCUCUCUCUCUUAAAAUCGAUAGAUAUAUGAUAUUUAUAAAAGAAACAAACCCCUUCAAUUAUGUUUCAAUUUAGUGGUAAAACUGAUCCAAAUCAUUCGUCUACUCUAUAUUAGGUUUUUGUAGUAAAACAAAUAUUAAGAGACUAGCAAAAAAUAAAGUAUGUUAGACGUAAAUGUUGACUCUGUCAUGUCUUUGUAGUAAAACAAAUAUUAAGAGAUUAGUAAAAAAUAAAGUAUAUUAAACAUAAAUGUUGACUCUGUCACUCCAAAUCAUCUCCACAUUAUGCCAAAGCCAUGAAUUGGACAUUCAACUAACAUCUUUUGAUUAUUUAAUUUUGGAUUGAAGUAGUAAGAGUCGUUUAUUAUGUUAUUAAUCAAUCUCUCUCAAUAGUGAUUAACUUGAUGUGGAUUGAUAAGCUAGUUGAUUAUUCUUCCUUAUCACAUCACAUAGUAUUUACAUCUUUUGAUUAUUCAAUUUUCAUGUGUUAAGACUCUUAUCUUAUUCGGCCAAGUAUAUAUAUAUAUAUAUAUAUAUAUAUAUAUAUAUAUAUAUAUAUAUAAUUCCUAAAGUUUCAAUGUAGACUCAACUACCUUGAUUUGUUUUACGAUUAUUGUUCUUUGUUAAAUUAGAAUUUGAUUACAUAAUAUAUGGAUUGGAUUCAAAGGCAACCAAUGUCCAUUUUGGAAAGAAUUUCUAUCUUAAUCCUUUUUAAAUCUACUCAAAGAAAUUUAAGAACACCCAAAUGUUUGCCUGUGUAUCUCUCUCAUCGAGAUCUUAGAUUUAUGGUAUAUGUACCAAAAUAAUUUCUAAUUUAUUAAAAAUUAAUUUUUCUAUUUAGAACUCUAAUCUAAAUUCUAAUUUACAGCGAGUCAAAGUCUUCUUGGCUAGCGACGUGUAGAAAAAGAAUCCAUGGAAUGCACAAUCAAAUUUAAAGAAGACGACCCCACGCCUGUGCUUAUCCCACUUAUUGAGACCGAUGCUAUCAGUUUCCAAAAUUCUAUUUGAUCAUGGAUAAUGGGUACCAUCCACAAUAUGGUGGUAUGUGGCACAAUAUCAAAAGAACAAUCAAGAGAAUUAAUAAGGGAACAUAUACUCAAAAUAACUUUUAUAAAAUUUAUGUGGUCAAGCAUUUGUAUUCUUCAUUAUGCAAAAAUGUAAGGAAUAAAUCUAUCUAUCUCAGGAGUCACUCCAAAAGAGUCUAGUAAGUGUUUUUCUUUGGCACUUUAUCAAAACGUAGGUAAGAAACACUUGAGGAUUUCUUUCAGUCAGUUAACUGUUUCUGAGUCAAAGUGGUGUAGUCUCGAUCCAUUCUAUGCAUACUUUGCUUCACGCUCAUGAUCCGCAUGUUGCUCUGCAUCAUAACGACUCUAAUUUUAAAAAUUUUAAAACCCUUUCAAUAUGACUCUAAUUUAGUAGUAAAAUCGAUCCAAGUCAUCCGUCUACUCUAUAUCAGGUCUUCCUAGUAAAACAAAUAUUAAGAAACUCUAGCAGAAAAUAAAGUAUGUCAGACAAACGUUGAUUCUGGCACACCAAAUUAUCUCUACAUUAUGCCAAAGUCAUGAAUUGAACAUCUGACUAACAUCUUUUGAUUAUUCAAUUUUGGGUGGGUUAUAGUAAGAAUCGUCUGUUAUAUUAUUAAUCAAUCUCUCUUAAUAACGAUUAACCUAAAGAUGCAUAGUAAGAUUGAUAAGUCAGUUGAUUAUUCUUUCUUAUCGGGUGUGUCUAUUUCUUUUGAUUAUUCAAUUUCAUGUAUUGAACUCAUAUAUUAAUUUUUAUAUCGGGUCACAUAGGGUCUAAAGUUUCAACAUACACUAAACUACCUUAAUUUGUUGUUCGUACAUCUGCAUGUUCAAGCAAGUUUGUUGCCCAACACAACCUUGAUUUCUUUUAAGAUUAUUGUUCUUUGAUAAAUCAGUAUAAAAAUUAUUUUCAUUAGUUAAUCCAAAUUGAAGUCUGAAAUUUCUUAUAUGCUAUUUCACAUAUGUCCGAAAGGAUUUUUAUCUUAAUCCUUUUUAAAUCUACCAAGAGAAAUUUAAGAACACCCAAAUGUUUUCCUAUGUAUCUCUAUCAUCAAGAUAUUAGAUUUAUGAUAUAUUUACAGAAAUAAAUUCUAAUUUACUAAAAAAAUUAAUUUUUUUAUUUAGAUCUCUAAUCUUAAUUCUAAUUUACCGCAAGUCAAAGUCUUCUUGGCCAGCGAUGUGUAGAAAAAGAAUCCAUGGAAUGCACAAUCAAAUUUAAAGAAGACGACCCCACUUCUGUCAAACAGUGCUUAUCCUACUGAUUGAGACCGAUGCUGUCAGUUUCCAAAAUUCUAUCUAAUCAUAAAGUUUAAUUUAUUAUUCCAACCACACAUAUUUACUAUUUUGCACCCAAGUUAUUUCGGUCAGUCAACUGUUUCUGAGUCGAGGUGGUGUAGUCUCGAUCGAUUCUAUGCAUACUUGGCUUCACGUUCAUGAUCCACAUGAUGCUCUGCAUCAUAACCACUGGUUCCGUCCAUCCCAACUCUUACCCCUUUCGUCACAUAUGAAGUCUCCGAUGGUGAAGGUGCUCUCCGCAUCGCCACGAAACUUGGAAUGGGCUGACAAGUCGAAGUCUUACCUCUUUCGUCACAUAUGAAGUCUUCUUUAGAGAACGGGUCGGUACAAUUAAUUGUGUGCAUCGGUUGGCUUACAAAUUUGUGAUUUGGAAUAGCGUAGCAUGCACCUUCGCCCUGUUCUUCUCAUCAUUCUUCUCGUCAUUGUUGUUGAGCCUGUUGGGCAUCCUCCUUCUCCACGGGGCAGAGGUGGCACGAGGGUGUUUUAGCAUGGAGAGGGAGGCGCUGCUGGACUUCAAAGCUGGUGUCGGAGACACCCGCAACCGGCUAUCUUCUUGGACAGGCCACCACUGUUGCACAUGGAAGGGAGUGGCCUGCGACACCACCACUGGCCACGUCGUCAUGCUGGACCUCCGAAACACAAAUACUACAGAUGAUUGGGCAAUUACGCGGUGAGGGGAUGAUGAACUCGUCAUUACUUGCUUUAUCUCAUCUGAAGCACUUGGAUCUUAGCUUCAAUAAUUUCAGCGGGAUCCGCAUACCGGAAUUCAUCGGCUCCUUCAAGAAACUGAGAUACCUCAAUCUAUCUUCUACACAAUUCAUGGGAGGAAUACCUGCUCGCGUGGGGAACCUUUCGAGCCUCUACGUUCUUGAUCUAAGCGAUGCUUUAUACGUCGAUGAUUAUGGCAACGGAUAUCCCGUCGACAACCUCGACUGGCUCUCCCAUCUCACGUCCUUGAAGCACCUGAACUUGAGCGGGUUGAACCUAAUCGAUGUCCCAGAUUGGUUCUCGGCGGUGAACAUGCUGCCGUCCCUCCAGGUGUUAAACAUGUCUUACGGUGGUCUCAAUAGCAUCCCGGUUUCUGUUGUCCACGUCAACUUCACCUCCUCUCUUACCGUCCUUGAUCUCCAUUAUUCUGGGUUCUAUGGCGUUAUUCCCGAUGCAAUUGGAGACUUGGGCAGACUGAAAGAAUUAUAUAUGCCGGGCAACCAAUUGACAGGAAAUUUGAGCGGUUGGUUGGAGCAAAUGACGAAUCUCAUCAUUUUGGAUCUCCGAUCUAAUUUAUUCAACUGUUCCAUGCCUUCUUCCGUUGGUAAGCUAUCUAAUCUCACUGAAUUGUAUCUCGGUGGAAAUUCUCUGAGAGGUAUCAUUUCAGAAGUUCAUUUUGAGAAUCUUACAAGAUUACAAGUAUUAGACUUGUAUGGUACCUCCAUCACCAUAUCAAUUGGCCAGAGUUGGGUCCCCCCUUUCCAACUCAGAUUAGUAGAUUUAACUAAAUGUCAGUUGGGACCUCAAUUUCCAGAAUGGUUGCAGUUCCAAACACAGAUCGAAGAAUUAUAUUUGGCAGACUGUAAAAUUGCAGGGACAAUGCCAGCUUGGUUUUGGAAUAUUUCAUCUUCUACCAUCACAUAUUUAGACCUUUCCAACAACCAAAUAGGAGGGAAGCUGCCAUCUUCUUUAAAGUUCACCAAGUUGGUAAUAUUAUUUUUGUAUUCCAACAGAUUUGAAGGUCCAUUGCCAACGAUGCUACCGUCUACACUUGAAACUCUAUACCUCUCCAAUAAUUCCUUUACAGGGCAAUUGCCGAUAUGGCCCCAUGUUAGAUUUGUGUCAAUCUCAGAUAACAUGCUCGACGGUGGCUUAUCUUCAUCAAUCUGCCAAUGGACAUAUCUCGAAUACCUUGACCUUUCGAACAACAAAUUACUUGGUGAGAUCCCUUAUUGUCUAGGGGAGUCAUUACAAAAUCCUCAUUUCUUGAAUUUGGCCAACAAUCACUUCUCGGGUGAAAUUCCACACACGAUCGGUUUUUUAAGUGAGCUUUUGCUAUUGCAACUGCAAAAUAACAGUUUUUCGGGUGAGGUUCCUUUGUCAUUGAAAAAUUGUACAAAUUUAUGGUGUCUUGAUCUGACUCAGAAUAAUCUUGUCGGAAGCAUAACGCUAUGGAUGGGAGAAAAUCUACAACAACUGGUAGUGCUUCGUUUACGUUCAAAUAUGUUUUCAGGAGUUAUUCCUUGGCAACUUGCUCGAUUUGAACGGCUUCAAAUAUUGGAUCUUGCGAAUAACAACUUCUCUGGUUCAAUACCUCACAACAUUGGUAAUUUAAAUAUUAUGAGAUCAACAUCACAACAUUAUGAAUUUUGUUCUAAUGAAUUAGAUAUCUUUACGAAGGGACAAGAUCUUCAUUAUUUAAAAUGCAGCAUGAAACUUAUGAAAAGUUUGGAUCUUUCAAAUAAUAGUCUAAUCGGAGAGAUCCCGAAAGGAAUUGGAGACCUUGCAGGACUCAAGAACUUAAAUUUGUCAAGAAAUUAUUUACAAGGAAAAAUCCCUUGGGAGAUAGGAGGAAUGAAAUCAUUAGAAUCCCUUGAUCUAUCGAUAAAUGAUCUUUAUGGUAGUAUUCCUGAGAGCUUAUCGGCUUUAUAUUUCUUGAGCUAUUUGAAUUUGUCAUAUAAUAAUCUUUCGGGAAUGAUACCAUCUGGUCGUCAACUUCAAACACUCAAUGAUCCAUCCAUUUACAUGGGUAAUGCCGACUUAUGUGGACCACCCACUUCCAAAAGUUGUUUUGAUAAUAAAACAACUCAAAUUGAUAUACAAGAGCACGAGAAGGAGAUUUCCGAUUGGCUAUGGUUCUAUAUUAGCAUGGUACUAGGAUUUGUGAUGGGAUUUUGGAUAUUUUGUGGUAUUCUCUUCCUCAAAGACGCAUGGAGGCAUGCUUAUUUCCAUUUCAUUGAUGAUGUGUAUGAUUGGGUUUGGGUGCAAUGGAAAUUAAUUCUUCCACGAUUGUUGAGACGUUAAUCCUAAAAUUUCUAGCGUGGAUGAUCCUAGGCUUUCCGGUAGAUGAGGAGAAGGUAUGUCAUCACUCUACUUUUUAUUUAUAUGAUAUUUUGGAUUCCUAGAUGUUGGUUGUGAUCGAUGAAAAAAGAAUUUGUAUUGUUGAUCUAAGAAAGGAUGGGCUGCUAUAUUUAUGGAGUUUGAGAUCAAUUUCUAUGUAAUGUGGUUGUUUACAGUCUUCUUCUUCUAUUUGAUGUUUGCAUAAUUAUAACAUCGUGCAAGAACAGAUUUUUCUCUCUUACACAAUUCACUUGGUGCAUGCUUUUUCAAUAUCGGAAACUUCGACUUUGUCAU
rnacentral:lncRNA from 1 species